AGAAAAAGCUAUGUCUGUGGUGACAAGUGGGAGUAUUUCAGAAGCUGCAUGGGCUUAUAUGGAAGCUGAUCUUAGGAUCCCAAGUCCUUGUUCUGCAGGGUCCUCAUCAACACUGAGCAGUUGAGCAAGUAUGGAGACAGGUACUCCUUUCCUGAUAUGAUCAUGUUUGUCCCAGGCUUCAUGGUAGGAAAAUUAUCCCCUGGCUGCCUAC
rnacentral:lncRNA from 1 species